UGAGAAACAGCUACCGCAAUUGCAGAC
rnacentral:piRNA from 1 species